UGGGAAGAGAAGUUUUCUUUCCGACCCUAUGUAGUUCUUGAGGGAGAGAAGCGUGCAGAGAGUCACGCAGUGUAGCCCAAUCACGUGGACUAACCGUUCAUUCGUGGGAGGAGGAGGAGACUGGCGGAAUUUCCCUGAGAUUUUGACUCCUAGAUCCAAAGAAAACUUGCAAUGACUUGGCAUCUUUAAAUUAGACUUACCAUUUAUGUGCUCAUCACAUGUUCCCAAGAAACCCAAACUUGCCGCAAACUGCACUGCUGUUCUAACUCUUCCAGAAGAGGGAGAGGAAGAGUUGUGCAUGCACAGAAGAUGGUGCUCUCAGCCAGGUGUAUGUACAGCUAGAUUGCACCCCCUCAAAAAAAAAAAAAACCCUCAAAGGAAUGCUUUGCAGCUUGGCGAGGGAAGGAGCCACAUGUUCACCUAAGUGCUUCCUAGCAUAAGACAAAGGUUUUAUUAGACAUGAAUAUAAGAAGUAGGAACUGUAGAAAAAUUCUUCUGCUAGUACAUAGCAGACUAUACUUCAAAUGAAUGAGACAUCCUGACAUACGGAGAAUAUUUCUAAAAACAUGGAGAAAUUGUGACGGCUUUUGUUGAUUUAUCUUUAGCUGAAGGUGUACUUAAAGGAAUAAAAACCGAUACAGUGUG